GCGGAGGUGGCGAAAUUGGCAGACGCACCAGCUUGAGGUGCUGGCGCCGUAACAGGCAUAGGGGUUCAAGUCCCCUCCUCCGCACCA
rnacentral:tRNA from 1 species